GGAUGUGAGAGCAAUCUGGCUUUCAUGUGUGCCACCCCCACUGAGCACAGGGUUGAUUCUGCUGAUCUGUUUGGCUACUCCUGUGGUCCAUCCUCCCUCCUGCAUCUGCAAAUGAGGCAAAUAAGAUUCUCCAAGCACCCUGGAUGGUCUUUGGUCAAGAGUAUACAAGUAGCCGUGCUCCCCUGCUAGUACCUUCAAGAGAGCAGCCUGAGUAGGUUUCAUCUAUCAAAAUCCAGACAUUGAGGUUUGGGGUCCCAGGGUACACCCAAAC
rnacentral:snRNA from 1 species